rnacentral:rRNA from 1 species
GACGAACGCUGGCGGCGUGCUUAACACAUGCAAGUCGAACGGAAAGGCCCUGCUUGCAGGGUACUCGAGUGGCGAACGGGUGAGUAACACGUGGGUGAUCUGCCCUGCACUUCGGGAUAAGCCUGGGAAACUGGGUCUAAUACCGGAUAGGAGCCAUUUUUAGUGUGAUGGUUGGAAAGUUUUUUCGGUGUAGGAUGAGCUCGCGGCCUAUCAGCUUGUUGGUGGGGUAAUGGCCUACCAAGGCGGCGACGGGUAGCCGGCCUGAGGGGGUGGACGGCCACAUUGGGACUGAGAGACGGCCCAGACUCCGACGGGAGGCAGCAGUGGGGAAUAUUGCACAAUGGGCGCAAGCCUGAUGCAGCGACGCCGCGUGGGGGAUGACGGCCUUCGGGUUGUAAACUCCUUUCGCUAGGGACGAAGCUUUUUGUGACGGUACCUAGAUAAGAAGCACCGGCUAACUACGUG